GAUCAACAGUGACUGCAUCCAACAACAAGCCAAAUGAGCGGGAACACAACAGAAGAUUCCAUAACUUAUCGUGCUGGAAGCUUUCACAGUUUUGUUCUAAAGAGUUCUUUUUGAUCCGUGGCAGGACACCACUUAUAAGGCCAAGUCAACCAUCACUCAUUCGUCCUCCCCAGUGGAGUCCAACUACUCAAUGGCAGAUGGUGGCCUACUUCUCCGGACAGCUUCAGAUGCCCAUCUCCGCGUGCUAAUUAAAAAGGUGAGGCAGUUCUUGAAAUCGACGAUUAUAUUUGCUAAGUGUCAAUUUAUGCAAUUUUUUUAGAGCAACUGCUUUUUC